AAAUCACACACCAACAUUUGCAGCGGAAAUAAAUUCUUUAUUGCAAAAUGAUUACAUGUUACAAUAAGUUUACAUUAUACAAUUAUCGGAGUGAUUACAAAAGAAAAUGAUUAAAUAGAAUUACAAUUUAAAAUGUAUAAAAUAUUUAUAAGUUUUAAAAUACAUGUUAACUUAAGUGACAAUCCUCAAUAGAGAAACUAAAGACGGGAUAUACUUAUAGAAGAAGGCCGAGCCCACCGGCACUUAGCACCAUCCACAACAGAACAAAAUUACAACCUGAAAAAC
rnacentral:lncRNA from 1 species